rnacentral:lncRNA from 1 species
GUAGGAAUACCCCCGUUAGCCGGCUUUUAUAGCAAAUUCUAUUUGUUCUUCGCCGCUUUGGGUUGUGGGGCUUACUUCCUAGCCUCAGUGGGAGUAGUGACUAGCGUUAUAGGUUGUUGGGCGGCCAGAAGGUUGCCACGAAUCAGUCAGUUUGGGGGACCUAAGGCAGUUCUCCGUGCACCUGACACGUAGCUUACCGAAUCAGUUGCGACACCGAUGGGAAUGCAUGCUACGAAAGAUAGGGUCGAGUCUGAAACAUCAACCAUCUACUCAAUAUCCUUGUACGAGUCCACAAUCACUACACGAGAUGAACCUUGGUUUGGUGAAUUGAAGUUUGCCUUAGGUGUAAAAAAAAAAAAAAGGACUCCUAGUUACUGUGCACAAUCGUAUACUGAGGUGCUCCCCGCCGGUUGUUGGAACGACGCGAGCCGGGCCUCCAUUCAGAAAGAUGAAG